rnacentral:lncRNA from 1 species
CAAGGCAUGAGGUAGCCAUGCAGGUAUGGUCGGACCAAGGCAUGAGGUAGCCAUGCAGGUAUGGUAAGACCAAGGCAUGAGGUAGCCAUGCAGGUAUGGUAAGACCAAGGCAUGAGGUAGCCAUGCAGGUAUGUUCAGACCAAGGCAUGAGGUAGCCAUGCAGGUAUGUUCAGACCAAGGCAUGAGGUAGCCAUGCAGGUAUGUUCAGACCAAGGCAUGAGUCAUUUUUUGUGUGUGUUCAAUUAUGGUGUUGUUCAAGGUGAAUUUAUAUUUGUGUUUCUGACAUCUGGGUUCUCUCUGGAUAAUCAUGAUUUUCGUUUUUUAGAAAUGUACUGCCAGGGCCCAAUUAUGGCAAUAUUGGUGUAGAAUAUUAAGGUUCUGUUGAAGACCUUCUUUGGUUGGUGAUAGAAGAACCAAGUCAUCAGAAUAGUCCAACAUGUCUGCUAAUUCAUUGAUAUAAAUGUUGAAAAGGUUUGGACUCAAACUGCAACCUUGUCUCACACCUCGACGUUGUGAAAAUAAUUAUGUUCUUGGUUUUUGUACCUUUUUUUUUUUACUGCACACUUGUUUUCUGUGUACAUUCAUUUUAUUAGGUCAUACACCUUAUCACCAAGCCCACUUUGGAUAAUUUUGAAGAAUAGCUCUUUGUGCCAAAUAUAAUCAGCCUUUUUAAAGUUCAAUAAAGCAAGUAAUUUUUUCAUAUUUACAUUUUUUUUACUCCUUUUUCUCCCAAAUUCUGUGGUAUCCAAUUGGUAGUUACAAUUUUGUCUCAUCGCUGCAACUCCCGUACGGACUCGGGAUUGGCGAAGGUCAAGAACCGUGCGUCCUCUGAAACACAACCCAACCCAACCAAGCCGCACUGCUUCCUGACACAAUGCCCAUCCAACCCGGAAGCCAGCCGCACCAAUGUAUCGGAGGAAACACUGUACACCUGGUGACCGUGUCAGUGUGCCCUGCACCCGGCCCGCCACAGGAGUCGCUAGCGUGCGAUGGGACAAGGACAUCCCUGCCGGCCAAACCCUCCCUUAACCCGGACGAUGCUGGGCCAAUUGUGCGCCGCCCCAUGGGUCUCCCAGUCGCUGCCGGCUGCAACAGAGCCUGGAACCAGGAUCUCUAGUGGCACAGCUAGCACUGCGAUUUCACAGCUAGCACUGCGAUUUCACAGCUAGCACUGCGAUUUCACCGCUAGCACUGCGAUUUCACCGCUAGCACUGCGAUUUCACCUCUAGCACUGCGAUUUCACAGAUAGCACUGCGAUUUCACCGC